CUUUUACAAUGAAGAGUUUGAUCCUGGCUCAGGAUGAACGCUAGCUACAGGCUUAACACAUGCAAGUCGAGGGGCAGCAUUUUAGUUUGCUUGCAAACUAAAGAUGGCGACCGGCGCACGGGUGAGUAACACGUAUCCAACCUGCCGAUAACUCGGGGAUAGCCUUUCGAAAGAAAGAUUAAUAUCCGAUAGUAUAUUAAAACCGCAUGGUUUUACUAUUAAAGAAUUUCGGUUAUCGAUGGGGAUGCGNNNNNNNNNNAACCGCAUGGUUUUACUAUUAAAGAAUUUCGGUUAUCGAUGGGGAUGCGUUCCAUUAGUUUGUUGGCGGGGUAACGGCCCACCAAGACUACGAUGGAUAGGGGUUCUGAGAGGAAGGUCCCCCACAUUGGAACUGAGACACGGUCCAAACUCCUACGGGAGGCAGCAGUGAGGAAUAUUGGUCAAUGGACGAGAGUCUGAACCAGCCAAGUAGCGUGAAGGAUGACUGCCCUAUGGGUUGUAAACUUCUUUUAUAUGGGAAUAAAGUAUUCCACGUGUGGGAUUUUGUAUGUACCAUAUGAAUAAGGAUCGGCUAACUCCGUGCCAGCAGCCGCGGUAAUACGGAGGAUCCGAGCGUUAUCCGGAUUUAUUGGGUUUAAAGGGAGCGUAGGUGGAUUGUUAAGUCAGUUGUGAAAGUUUGCGGCUCAACCGUAAAAUUGCAGUUGAAACUGGCAGUCUUGAGUACAGUAGAGGUGGGCGGAAUUCGUGGUGUAGCGGUGAAAUGCUUAGAUAUCACGAAGAACUCCGAUUGCGAAGGCAGCUCACUAGACUGCAACUGACACUGAUGCUCGAAAGUGUGGGUAUCAAACAGGAUUAGAUACCCUGGUAGUCCACACAGUAAACGAUGAAUACUCGCUGUUUGCGAUAUACAGUAAGCGGCCAAGCGAAAGCAUUAAGUAUUCCACCUGGGGAGUACGCCGGCAACGGUGAAACUCAAAGGAAUUGACGGGGGCCCGCACAAGCGGAGGAACAUGUGGUUUAAUUCGAUGAUACGCGAGGAACCUUACCCGGGCUUAAAUUGCAUUUGAAUAAUCUGGAAACAGGUUAGCCGCAAGGCAAAUGUGAAGGUGCUGCAUGGUUGUCGUCAGCUCGUGCCGUGAGGUGUCGGCUUAAGUGCCAUAACGAGCGCAACCCUUAUCUUUAGUUACUAACAGGUCAUGCUGAGGACUCUAGAGAGACUGCCGUCGUAAGAUGUGAGGAAGGUGGGGAUGACGUCAAAUCAGCACGGCCCUUACGUCCGGGGCUACACACGUGUUACAAUGGGGGGUACAGAAGGCAGCUACCUGGCGACAGGAUGCUAAUCCCAAAAACCUCUCUCAGUUCGGAUCGAAGUCUGCAACCCGACUUCGUGAAGCUGGAUUCGCUAGUAAUCGCGCAUCAGCCAUGGCGCGGUGAAUACGUUCCCGGGCCUUGUACACACCGCCCGUCAAGCCAUGAAAGCCGGGGGUACCUGAAGUACGUAACCGCAAGGAGCGUCCUAGGGUAAAACUGGUAAUUGGGGCUAAGUCGUAACAAGGUAGCCGUACCGGAAGGUGCGGCUGGAACACCUCCUUUCU
rnacentral:rRNA from 1 species